UAGCGGAACUCCUACGGGAGGCAGCAGUAGGGAAUUUUCGGCAAUGGGGGAAACCCUGACCGAGCAACGCCGCGUGAAGGAAGAAGUAAUUCGUUAUGUAAACUUCUGUCAUAGAGGAAGAACGGUGGAUAUAGGGAAUGAUAUCCAAGUGACGGUACUCUAUAAGAAAGCCACGGCUAACUACGUGCCAGCAGCCGCGGUAAUACGUAGGUGGCGAGCGUUAUCCGGAAUUAUUGGGCGUAAAGAGGGAGCAGGCGGCACUAAGGGUCUGUGGUGAAAGAUCGAAGCUUAACUUCGGUAAGCCAUGGAAACCGUAGAGCUAGAGUGUGUGAGAGGAUCGUGGAAUUCCAUGUGUAGCGGUGAAAUGCGUAGAUAUAUGGAGGAACACCAGUGGCGAAGGCGACGAUCUGGCGCAUAACUGACGCUCAGUCCCGAAAGCGUGGGGAGCAAAUAGGAUUAGAAACCCUAGUAGUCCACUUAUG
rnacentral:rRNA from 1 species